rnacentral:rRNA from 1 species
UACGUAGGUGGCAAGCGUUGUCCGGAUUUACUGGGCGUAAAGAGCGCGCAGGCGGUCGUUCAAGUCGCGUGUGAAAGCCCCCGGCUCAACUGGGGAGGGUCACGCGAUACUGAUCGACUCGAAGGCAGGAGAGGGUAGUGGAAUUCCCGGUGUAGUGGUGAAAUGCGCAGAGAUCGGGAGGAACACCCGUAGCGAAGGCGGUUCUCUGGGCCGGUACUGACGCUGAGGAGCGAAAGCGUGGGGAGCAAACAGG